AUCUUAACCUUCUCCGCCUUGUUUAAAGGAGCCGCUGCCUUCUCCGUUGGAUCUGCGCCACACGCAAGUCCGUCCACUGGCCUGGGAGUGAAGGGUUAACAGGCCACCCUCCACCUGCGACCGCUGGCCGCCUCCAGGCCUGGCUGGGAGCACAUUACGUCAUCUUCCCAGCUGCCUACCCCCGCCCUGCCCGCCUGAGAAAGCCAGCGGAGUCAAACCUGGACCCCAGCGCUCGGGACGGGAGUCCGGGUCAUCCAAGUCCCGCUUCUCCCAGCCUCCUUACAAAGGCGGGCACGGAGGCUUGACAAGGUUGCAGAUUGUCCCAGGGCGGUCAGGAUUUUACGUCUUCUGCUUUGCACCCGCCGUGACCUCGCGCUUACUCCAGUGGUCCUCAAUCUCUGGCACCUCGGAACCACUGAGGACCUGAAAACCACGCCAGUGCCCAGGCCCACCGACGGCCUCCUGAGAGGGGGGCCCCGGGCACGAGUUUUUUGAAAAAGUUCCACCGGGAUUCUGAAGUGCAGCCCACCCACUCCUUCAAGCACCUCACUGCCCCAUCUUGCAGCUGGUCGUGUUGUAAACUUCUAGGAAUUUAUCCAAAGGAAUAAAAAUUACAAGUGCUUAAAGAAGUGCUGUAACUAGGAAGAAGUGAGAAUAAGGAAAUGAAUAUGUAAAUUACAUCCACACGAUGGAAUACCAUGGGAUCAUUAAAAAUUACGCACACAAAUGUAUAUUUAUUAGCAAGAAAAGGCGUUCACAAUAUAUUGAUAAAAGGGAAAAGUUGAAGUUUCCUGCCAGUUUGUGAGAGGCAGCUGUUGCUUAGUGAUCAAUAAUUAAGAACACACAGGCUGUGUGGAGGCAGACACAUGGAUCCACUAAUUCACUGUGACCUUGGGUUAAUUGUUCUAAGCCUCAGUUUAGUCAUCUCUAAAAUGGGGAUAAAAUAGCAUCCCUCAUAGCUGUGGUUAAGUGAGAUUAUUUGCACAUUCAAUUGACAAUAUUUAUUGAACAUCUCUGUGGCAGGGAAACAAAUGGUUCCUGCCCUCUGAGAGCUUCCAGUCUAGCAAAAAAAAAAAUCAGAAAUCCCACACCCGUAUUAAACAUAAAAAUAAAUUACAGAUGAUGGUACAAGUGAUCAAGGAAAGGUAAUGGAUGUGAUGAAACUAACAAGGGCCCUGACUUGUGCUGUCAAGAAGCCUCUGAAGAAGUGACAUUUAAGAUGAAACCUAAAAUUAUGAGAGAACUGCAGCUGUUACAGCCAAAGGGGAAAUGAUGACAUGGACAAAGGCCUCGAGGCAGGAGGAGCUGCUGGCAGCCAGCUCUCGGCAUAAGCUUUGGCAUACAGUAAGUGCCUUGCAUACUGCUGUAUUGCAAUUGAAAAAAUAAGGAUCUGGCCAGGCGCGGUGGCUCACACCGGUAAUUCCAGCACUUUAGGAGGCCGAGGUGUGCAGAUCAUUUGAGGUCAGGAGUUGGAGACCAGCCUGACCAACAUGGUGAAACCCCGUCUCUACUAAAAAUACAAAAAUUAGCCGGGUGUGGUGGCGCAUGCCUGUAAUCCCAGCUAACCGGUAGGAGAACUGCCGGAACCUGGGAGAUAGAGGCUGCAGUGAGCUGAGAUCAUGUCGCUGCACUCCAGCCUGGGAGACAGAGCAAGACUCUGUCUCAAAAAAAAGAAAGAAAAAAUACAAAGAGAGUCCGGGCAAGGUGGCUCACGCCUGUAAUCCCAGCACUUUGGGAGGCUGAGGUGGGCGGAUUGCCUGAGGUCGGGAGUUCGAGACCAGCUUGGCCAGCUUGGUGAAACCCCGUCUCUACUAAAAAUACAAAAAUUAGCCAGGCGUGAUGGUGCAUGCCUGUAAUCCCAGCUACUCAGGAAGCUGAGGCAGGAGACUUGCUUGAACCCGGGAGGCAGAAGUUACGGUGAGCAGAGAUCGCGCCAUUGCACUCCAGCCUGGGCAACAGGAGACUGCGUCUCAAAAAAAAAAAAAAAAAAAAAAGAAAAGAAAAGAAAAAAUAAGGAUCUGUGUGCUCACCUGAAGGUUAAAAACGAUGGAAGACCCAACAGCUGGCUGUCAGACAUAGUUACAGGAGUAGUGAGAUUUGGGGUGAAUUUUACUUUUGGAGUGAAUUUUACUUUCUUUUUGGCAUUUCAGUAUUGCUUAAAUUACGUUUUAUAAUGAACGUGUAUAACUAAUGAGAAAUAGAUAGUGUCUUAUUUUUUGGGAAAGCAAGACAACAUUGUUCUCGUCAUUGUUCACACACAGGGAGGCUGGUAUAGAAUACACCAGUCUCACCCUGAAAGACACAGAAAACUAAACCCUGCUCUGGACACAGC
rnacentral:lncRNA from 10 species